rnacentral:rRNA from 1 species
CCUACGGGAGGCAGCAGUGGGGAAUUUUGGACAAUGGGCGCAGGCCUGAUCCAGCCAUGCCGCGUGCGGGAAGAAGGCCUUCGGGUUGUAAACCGCUUUUGUCAGGGAAGAAAAGGUUCUGGCUAAUACCUGGGACUCAUGACGGUACCUGAAGAAUAAGCACCGGCUAACUACGUGCCAGCAGCCGCGGUAAUACGUAGGGUGCAAGCGUUAAUCGGAAUUACUGGGCGUAAAGCGUGCGCAGGCGGUUAUGCAAGACAGAGGUGAAAUCCCCGGGCUCAACCUGGGAACUGCCUUUGUGACUGCAUAGCUAGAGUACGGUAGAGGGGGAUGGAAUUCCGCGUGUAGCAGUGAAAUGCGUAGAUAUGCGGAGGAACACCGAUGGCGAAGGCAAUCCCCUGGACCUGUACUGACGCUCAUGCACGAAAGCGUGGGGAGCAAACAGGAUUAGAUACCCUGGUAGUCCACGCCCUAAACGAUGUCAACUGGUUGUUGGGAGGGUUUCUUCUCAGUAACGUAGCUAACGCGUGAAGUUGACCGCCUGGGGAGGACGGCGCGAGUAGUUAACGUUACGAAGAAGUUAGAGGCGNGNGAGNGCGACGGACGACGACGAGGGAGGAGG